rnacentral:lncRNA from 1 species
CUAGUGUUCGUGGAGACUGCGCUCCCUGAAAGAGCAGCUACAGAGCAGAUGGUAGCUAAAUCGGCCCGUCGACUAAGAGCAUCAGCAACAUGAUUACUAGAGCCGGGACGAUACUCUAACAUAAAAUUGAACUCCGAAAGGAAUUCCUGCCAACGAGCCUGUUUACUCGACAGUUUUGGCUGGGACAUAAAGUGACUAACUGCAGUGUUAUCUGUCUUCACAAUAAAUGGAGACCCAAGCAGAUAGUGACGCCAUCCUCUGAGACAAUGGACAACUGCUAACAAUUCCUUUUCAUGUGCCGAGUAACGACGUUCUGUCUGGUUUAACUUUCGGCUCUCAUAUGCUACCGGAUGUCCUUCUUGCAUGAGGACUCCACCAAGGGCAAAAUCUGAAGCAUCUGUAUGAACUUCGAAUGGUUUAGCCAUAUCCGGUAAGGCUAAAAUCGGGUUCGUCCACAUGGACUUCUUCAACCUUUCAAAAGCAGCUUGGCAUUGGGAUGACCAAUCCCAAUCCUUAU